rnacentral:tRNA from 1 species
GAAAUAUAUCUAAUUUAAACUUCUAAUUUAAACUUUAAGUGAUUAAUUUCAUUUUUAUUUCA